UGUCAAGUCGAGCAUCUCCAUCGUCUACAGCGUCGUCUAUCACGGCUGCAUCUUCGCCUUCGUAUUCUGCUUCCUCUAUGUCACUAGAAAAAGAUAGAAGAGUAUUUAUAAAUUUUCUCAUAAGAGACUUUGAUACAGGCGCCGAUCUGCAAAACGUCGGCGACAGGAACAACAUCCACAAUAGAACAGGCGUUAUAAAGCAACGCAUUUUUUUAUAUUUUAAUAAUUCGCAAUAAAAAUCUAUUAUAAAAUCUGACAGUGAUUAGCACCAACUAUUGGAGCUUUUUGCCGAUGCUUCAUUUGUUUAAAUAUUCUUCAAAGACAAAAAAUAAAAAAGAAAUUAUACACUCUAAAGAGGAUUUAAUAUUCAUUUUAUAUUAGUCCAUAAUAAUCCCAUAUAAAAAGUCGCUUUCUAGAUAACAAUUAUAGAAUUUUAACUCGUUCAUUACCUUAGUAAUUAAGAUUUUUUUACUGAAAAUUAAAAAUGCGUGCAAUAUAAUAACAUUGAUUCUGAUUGCAGUUUGCAUGCAGAAAUUAUUUUGAAGCUAUAGGUGGAAUUAAGUUAUAGAAAAUCCAGAAGUAUUAUAUCUGUGCUUACUGAUAUUGUAUACUGUUUUUUUUUUCAAAAUAAAAUAACUAAUUUGCAGGAUAAAGUAAAAACACGCAAAUACUUACAACAAUUUUAUUUUAAAUGAGACCGUUUCAUCUCUAUCACACUUAUUAUGUACAUUUUGGUUUAAAUAAAACAAACCUUUGAAAUUUUACUGCAAAAUCCUCGUUAAGUUUGUGCAUAUUUGAGAAAAAACAUUUAUGUCCUAGAUUUAAUGUCAUACAAAUAGAUCAAAUAGUUAAAAGGAUUUGUAGAAAUAGUCGAUCACACAUUUUGGUGUCUCGUUGCUUCCAAAUGAAAGCUUUCUCAUACCUGCACAUGUACAUUAUACCCUACGUUACCUAAAUACGUAACCUAACUCCAAAAUGCAAAAGGUAAAAAAAAAAACCAAAAGAUUUUACAACUAUGAGUACAUCAAAUGCAAUGAGGCAAUAGAAAAUAGGUCGCCUACUGCCAGAUCUCUGAUCCAACACAACAUUACUGGGUAGAGAAUAAGUAAUUUUGAAAUUUGGCAUUGCACUCCUAAUGAUAGAAAACAAUAAAAUAAUGUAACAAUUCGUAUAACAUUGAAUUAAUAUAAUGAAUCACAUCGUAUGGCAUGUUGAUAAAAUUCCAAAAUAUAAAACACAGUAAUAUUGCCUCUGACUUAGACUCGAGUCCUACCCAAGACUCUCAGGUCCAUACAUACUCUGCAUUUGGCAGACACUAGCUUAUAACAUGUACAUAAUGUAUUUAAUUUAGAAAACACUAUUUUAAAAUUUAUGAAAAGAAACUUACUUUAUCAUCUGAUUAGGCUUUGCUAUGAUUUAUGUUGUGCUUUUUUUAAUUUAUCACAUUUAUAGUACAUACUACUUUAUACAGUACAUUACAUCUGUCAUACAGUAUUAUAACCUUAUAUGGGAAUUGAAAGUAAACUUUGAAGGAUAGUAACAAUAUGAACAUUGUUUAUUGUGUACAAUAUUCAAAACGCAAAUUCAAACAUUAACUACUUGUGAUUGGUGUAACUGUAGAAGAACAGAAGAGUACAAACAAACACUUCUACACAAAUAAGUAACCUAUUACUUAAUUAUUAACCGAACCAUUCCGUUACUCAUACAUAGAUGUAUGCGAAUUGUAUUCAUUUGGAAUGGAAUUAAAACAGUAUGAACGCCGGUUCAUUUGUUUACGCCAAAAAACAGGGUCUAUUUCCAUUUGAAACUCGUAACUUGAUGACUAGACUCUUAAAAAACAAUAAAAUGAGCAUUUAUAAAACAAAACACGUGUCUACUUUCGAAUCAGCGCGUUCGCAAUAUUAAUUUCUAAAUUAUAUAUUCGCACUAAAUUAUAUAUUUGUACAUUUUUCAUCUUGACAAUAAAGUCACUAACAUUAUAAACAUUAAAGAGAGAAGGUAGAAACUUAAACAGCAAUUAAUAUUGCGAGUGCACAGAAUGCCUAACAACUAUAUGCUUUAGAAACUUAACAUCUACUUAAAGUUUUAGGUCAGUUAUUUCAAACCGUGCGAACAUACACACGGGCCCAGUGUCGAGUAUUCAUUACAAACACCCUAAAAUAAUUAUGACCGAUAUCAAAAUGUAACAAAUAGUGAAAUAAAAAAUUUCUCGUUGUAGAGUCUCGCAUCCCACUCUUACCUACAUACACAAGAAAGCCUAUACAAGUGGUGAAUAAUCCCAGUUUUAAAUACGUUUCAUACAAUAAGACAGCAUCUUAACAUUUCUGAAUAAUUGUUUAAAAGUGCUCUUUCUAGAGUAUCUUAAAAUUUUAACAAUAAAUUAACAAUAAAAUUGACACUAAAAACUUAUCUGUAAUUUUAUAGUAGUUGUUUAUUUCUGCUUUACCCGCGUGAACCUGUCAUCUCGGGUGAAUUUUCGGAAAUUAUAUUAUUUUAAUUUCAAGAUCUAUUCUAUGAGAUGGUCUAUUAUUAAGAUGGUGGUCUUAUAUAUUUUUCUAUAUAUACAUUAUGAUGUUUACAAAAACUCUUACCAUCACCAUUUUAAUAACAAACUUAAAAGAUUUUAGUUUGGUAUCAAAUCAUUUACUUUAAUAAUCAUUUAGAAAUACUUUAAGAUGUAUAAUCAUUUCUGGAAGUUAAUAAAGCUAUUGUCCAGUGGCCUAGUCUUUUAAUAAACCCCUGUUAAUAUAAAAAAA